CCCCAAGGUAUUCUUCAACACUUCAUAGCAUUCUCUUAUUUGGUGAGAGGAAAGAAUAGUGGUGAUUUUCUCAAAGCACUUUGGAUGUGUACCAUUUGGCUCCUUUGGAAGGCGAGGAACGAAAGUCGUUUUGAUGGAAAGGUUUGGGAGAUUCAACCCCUGGUCUAAGAAAUUAAAGGCAGACUGUGGAGCUGGAAUAAAGUCUUUAGAUUCAC
rnacentral:lncRNA from 1 species